ACAUGCGUACGUGCGCGGAAUAUAUUAAGCACGGAUCCCAUCAGAACUCCGAAGUUAAGCGUGCUUGGGCAAGAGUAGUACUAGGAUGGGUGACCUCCUGGGAGACCUCGUAUUGCAUUCC
rnacentral:rRNA from 18 species